rnacentral:sRNA from 1 species
UGAAUUGAUGUUGAUGGCGCUUCACGCAC